rnacentral:rRNA from 1 species
AACGAACGCUGGCGGCGUGCUUAACACAUGCAAGUCGAACGAGAAAGUCCUUCGGGAUGAGUAGAGUGGCGCACGGGUGAGUAAUACAUGGGAACAUGCCUUUAGGUUGGGGAUAACCACGGGAAACUGUGGCUAAUACCGAAUAGUCUCGAGAGAGUAAAGGUGGCGCAAGCUACCGCCUUUAGAUUGGCCCAUGUCCUAUCAGCUAGUUGGUGAGGUAAUGGCUCACCAAGGCGAUGACGGGUAGCUGGUCUGAGAGGAUGAUCAGCCACACUGGAACUGAGACACGGUCCAGACUCCUACGGGAGGCAGCAGUGGGGAAUUUUGCACAAUGGGGGAAACCCUGAUGCAGCAACGCCGCGUGAGUGAAGAAGGCCUUCGGGUUGUAAAGCUCUUUAGACAGGAAAGAGGGGAGGCUAGGUAAACAAUCUAGUCUUCUGACGGUACCUGUAGAAUAAGCACCGGCUAACUCCGUGCCAGCAGCCGCGGUAAUAC